GAGUAGCGAAGAGCAGUCAGCGAGGUCCUGCAGGUCUAUGGUGGUGAGGGCUGCGCGGGGAGACCGGGAGACACGCGCCGGGCGGGCCCUGAGCCUCUCCGCCAGGCUCGCAGCUAGGACGUCAGAGCCCGGGGGAGAGAAGCUCCUCCGAGCUGUGCGCGCCGCACCCUCCCGGCGCGGGGAACCCGAGGGGUAGCGUGGGUGCCACGGGGCUCACCUGGCAGCGCUGUGGGCUCGGCGUCCGGGGGAUCCUCGUACACCGACACCGGGCUCCCGCCUGUGCAUCCGGGGAAGAACUUCCGCGGAGGAGCGAACUGGCCGGGCACACAAACGUUGAACGCGGGUCAGCCCUCGGGGCACCGAGCGCGCAGACCCCGCCCGGCCCGAAUCAACCGCCCCACCUUCCUCUCCGGCUUCCCCGGCUUGCAGAGCAGCGCCCGGCCCGGCAGUGCCAGCAUUCUGUUGGGGCAGAUGCUGUCGAAGGCCCGACGGCCGGCCGCGCCGCCCCCGCACGCCUGCAUUGUGCCUCCUGCCUCCGGGUGCCGACUGCUCGGAGGCGGCGGCCCGGGCUGGGGCAGCGAUCCACACCCUGCACUCCCUUCAGUGCCUGCAGGCUCCGAAGCCAGCCAGAGGUUGGGGCAGGCGCGUGACCGAGAAGGAGCCGAGGGGCUGCCGAGGAGCCACAAGGCGCACGAAAUAAACGUGGAGUGACACCCGCCAGCGCUAGACUCCGGCCUUUGCGCUCCUGCAGGAUUUAGUAAGGAUGUAGAAUACCGGCAGGGAUGCCCUGGAACAGCCCCCUUAUUACAGAAGCCCCUUCCCUCAAACCUGAACCUUAUCCUGGGUCCUGACUUAUGGAUUUCCACGUGGUCUCUUUUGGCCUGACGCCAAGAGCCCGCCCCGCUCCCCAAGCCCCGCACUCUUCUCGGCAGUGGCGCGUGAGCACAGCCUUUAAAAGACCGUCCGUUAAGAAAAAGUGACACUACGAACCCUCCUCCACUUUCUGAAAACGCCACAGUGGAAAGUACCGAAUCCCCGAAAACCCUGUUCCUGUCUUUCCUAGUGGCCUCAGCGGCCCAUCGCCACGUUUGGCUGGUCUCUUCGCAGUCGUAGUUGCCAUUCCCAAGCCAACACCUCUCCAAGGAAUGGGCAUUUUCCUGAGUCCGAGGCAUCUCCUAGGGAGGGGCAUCCUUAGGCGAGGGACCUUUCUCAGUACCACUCAUAUUCAUCCAAUUUGAACAGUCGUCUGAAAUUGGAAUCUUUGUGUACCCACCCCCCUAUGUUGGGCACCUUGUUUUCCCCUUAUACCUAGUAGUCGUAGUGAAAGAGCCUCUAGUAAGAAACAAGAUACCCUAACAGCGGUGGAAGGUAAUCCAAUGGUAGAGCUGGAAUAGAGUGAGAGACUCUCUGACCCAGGAGUAGAUGCAGAAACUGAAUUGAUGUGAGGUCAGCCAGCUAGAGUUGGUGUGGUAUGGCUCAUGGUGAGGAGCUCUGGCUUUAGGGUCAGAGUGCCUGAGGACCAGGUCCAUGAGCCCUAGGUCUUUAGGAAAAAAAGUUACACUGGCCUCAAUAGAGUUGCUGUGAAGAUGAGUGAGAUUAUUUAUGUAAAGUGACUGGUGCUUAGUAUGGGUAAAUUAGUGAUUUUUUAAAAGCCUUUUCAGCUGUAUUUCCAGCUUCCCACAACUUGUUCCUAGCCCUGUCUCCUGUUUCCUCUGGUUUCUGAGUAGCACGACCACUAGCCAGUCCAUCUCCAUCUCCAUCCCCAUCCUCACCCACUUUCCAGCCUUUAAAAUGAGUAGGGAAGCUCUUAGCUGAGUUUUGGGGCGAUCUCCACACAUGCAGAUCGUCACAAAAUUUCCAGGAUAGGCCCAUUUUCCAAAUAUUCGUCAAUGAGUUCUAAGUUGGAGUAGACAAAAAUAUGGGCAUUGCACAUUAUCUGUUGUAACAGGAACUGGAAUAGCAUGAUUAUAUGACUCCUAGUGUGGAUGAUUCUGGAACCAGUAACUCAUAGCAGUCUUGGCUGAUUAAUGGAGCAGAUAUUGGUGAAGACAACUCCGCGCAAAGUCACUCUUUUGCCUGGGGACCAGACCCCAACCCCUUACAACCAAGCAGAGGGCCCUAAUAAUUUGUUAUUUGAAACAGGUGAUAUGAUCUUCCUCCUCCCUUUUCACCAUCACAGAGCAGCUUUUACACAAAUAGCUUGGGGAUCACCACGUCCUUCUUCCACAGCCAAGGAGGAGAAAGUUCCUAGAAAGUUUAGCAUAGCAAUAUGUCAGAAGAGGCAUUCAAGGGGCCCAGAGUAAGGCACUCCUGGCUCCGAGAACACCUGGAAGACACACUUUGAGAGAAGUGCAAAGAAGUUUCUCUAAAUUUGAGUUUGCUUUUUAUUUGUAUUUGUCAUACAUUUUGAUAUACCCUAGGUGCAGGGGAACAUGACAGAUUUUCCCCCAAAAAAUUAUCACUUUUUUCAACCAUACAGAAAAUUUGAAAAAACAGUACGAUGAACAACCAUAUGUUCAACCCCACACAAAUUGUUAUUUUCCCAUAUUUGCUCUCGUUUCUUUGCUCCAAGUUUUUCUGCAUAGCCCCUGUCCUCCCAUCACUGUGCAGGUUACCACUAGCCUUUAUUUCUUGAGGGCUUCCUAUGUGCUGGGGGACCAGUAUGGACCAUCUCAUUAGAGCUAUACUUCCACCCUACUAAAUAGGCCCUAUUGAUAUUCCCAUUUUAUUUUUUUAUUUUGAGACGGAGUCUCACUCUGUCGCCCAGGCUGGAGUGCAGUGUUGCAAUUUCAGCUCACUGCAAGCUCCGCCUCCCGGGUUCACGCCAUUCUCCUGCCUCAGCCUCCCGAGUAGCUGGGACUACAGGCACCUGCCACUAUGCCCAGCUAAUUUUUUGUAUUUUUAGUAGAGAUGGGGUUUCACCGUGUUAGCCAGGAUGGUCUCGAUCUCUUGACCUCGUGAUCCGCCCGCCUUGGCCUCCCAAAGUGCUGGGAUUACAGGCGUGAGCCACCGCGCCCGGCCGAUAUUCCCAUUUUAUAGAUGAAACGUAGGCAUAGAUAUGUGACUUGCUUAAGGUCACCUGGCAAAUUGGAUACAGAACCCACUUACUGAAUCACUAUACUACCUUAUAACACGUAAACUUAAUCUCAUUUAAGCUUUUCAAUCUCAUUUAGACUGACAACAACCUUGAUAUCAAUUGUAGAGCUCAGAGAGGAUAUGAAAUUUGCUAGAGGUGACAGAGCUGAGAGAUUCAGUGCCUGCAUCAGAUUCGUAACAGUGAGACUGAAGACAAUAUGACAGGCGGAGUCAAAACUCCGGCAAGCCUCUGUCUCAUUUCUCAAUUUGGUUUUCUCAUCUGUAAAACGAUUCCUGUAACGUGACUGAGGUACAGACUGCGCUGGCUCUCCAGAUGUGUUCUCUAUAGUCCCUACUGAAUGGGGAGCACUGAGUAAAUAACUGCCACCUAUCUCAGGAAGAGGGUGUUUUGAGAAUUACCAGAAACCUGUAAGUGGGGGACAUUUAGCAGUGUGGCUAAGAGUGGGACUCUAGACUCAGAUCCCGGCUACUCCACUGUUGUUUAAUGGUUCUGUGCUCCAGCAUCCUCCUCUGAAAAAUGGGAUAAUAGACUCUGCUCCAUAGAGUUGCUGGAAGAAUGAAAUAAAUGCUGAACACAGUA